ensembl:antisense Pitpnm2os2 phosphatidylinositol transfer protein, membrane-associated 2, opposite strand 2
GGUUUUUCAAGACAGGGUUUCUCUGUGCAGUCCUGGCUGUCCUGGAACUCACUUUGUAGACCAAGCUGGCCUUGAACUCAGAAAUCCACCUGCCUCUGCCUCCCAAGUGCUGGUAUUAAAGGCGUGUGCCACCACUGCCCGGCUCAAACAGAACUUCUAAAGUGGGUCCCACUAACUCUUGCUUCCAUGAGGGGCCGGUGGGGAGCAGGUUAAGCUCUAGAUGCACAGGGAAUAAUGUCACUGCAUCGGGAGCCUCCCAGGAGUCCCUUCACACUUAGAAUCAAGUCCAAAGUCCUCGGCAUGACCGGAGCCCCCCUAGAUGGCUUCUCUCUCUCCUUCUCAUGGCCUUUCCUGUCCCAGUCACAGUUUCUCAAACUUGCUAAGCAUAUUUCCAUCGUGGGACCAUCGUGGAGCUAGCUCGGGCUUUUAAAAACCCAAAGGGCACCCAAUCCUUCCCAAAAUAUUUCUACCAACUAGGGACCAAAUAUUCAAAUAUAUAAGCCUAUGGGGCCCUUUCUCAUUGAAACCACCACAAGAAUCAGAGAGUGUACUUUAGUUAGGGAUUUCAUGUGGCUUCCUGAUCAAUUGCCAGUGCCCAAAAUACACCGGACACAGGAGUGGCAUCUAAAAAGUUGGCUGGUGGCUUUAGGAGGCGGCAGCCGGAAGUAGGGUAAAAGUGGGAGUGACAAGUGCUUCUGGGUGAAAGAAGAGACACAGAGCUUAAAUAAGCAAAUGUGAAAUAAUAUAAAUGGUAAACAAACACUUCCCGGGCUGCCACCCUCAGAAAAGCACCAAGCCCAUGAAGGUUUACAGGUGUUUCUAACAAACCUCUGAAAACCUUGGGGGAGGGCGGGGGAGGAUGCUCUAUUAGGAGGAGAAUAAGAACGGGCACACCUCAUGAACAAGAUGCCUUUCAAGCAAACCUCAAAGGAGGACAGGCAUGAAGCACAGCAGUAAGAACUUGGGGUCUCCCAGGGAACCAUAUGCAGUGUCACUUCUGUGACAAUGGUGCCUACUCUAGAAAUAUCUUUUUCCAUCUGGCCUCUGUGUCUUCUCUGUUCAUCUCCAUCGCCCAACAUUCUCCAUCGGCCUGGUCACUGAAUUGCAAAGUGAGUAUCCCACAAACGUCAGCCACUGUUGGACGGUGUCUAUAGGUCUAUUUCUGGCUAAAAAAGCAAGCCAGGAAUUGCAUUUCCCUCAUCCUGGUAUCUUUGAUGCCUGAAAACACUCAAAGGCUCAAGGCAGCCGACUGUUAAGAGCUGGCGCUGCGGAUGCACAAGCAAUGGUCUGUGAUGCCUGUUUGCAGCCAUCCUUAAACAUGUACAAUGAGCUCAGGUGGCAGGGCCUCGGGGAAGCUUUCUCGGGCUCCUUCUUUCUCAGGCAAGAAGAAGGUGAGCAAAAGAAGUCACGCUUCCUCUCCAGUGAGGCUGAGGGGCACCUGAAAGGACACAUCUGUCUACGUACUCUCUGUGAAGUUCAGUGUGAGGUGGUGGGGUCUGGACAACAUAGUAAGAAACAAGGAAGCAAGGCUGGCAUCUCCAGCAGCCUAGAAACUGAGCUGAGGGAGAAGAACGAAGGGUGGAAGAGUGCAGACUCUCCCUUCCACACCCACAAGGGCCCAGACAGCCCUGCUUCACCCCCAACUACAGCCGUUCAUCAAACAAGGCUGAGAAACCCGUCGUCACGGCUCUAGGGCUGGGCUGUGCCCUCCAUCUCCUCAUCAGCACUCAGACUCAGAUCAACCACUGCCAGGUCCAUGAGGCUGGGGAAUAGCUGAGACCGUCCAGGCCAUGGAUACAGCACAGCAUGGAUCCUAAUGGGACCCCUGCUGUGGACAUGGAGACCUGCAGGUUCAUAUCAGAGCUGCUGAGAGGCACCUCUGAAGUCAGCAGAUAAAACCGUUCUGCAGCAUAAACAGAUCCUCUGGUCAGGAGAAAGGGAGCUGGGAGGUCUGCAGUCCUGGACACGUACCUACGGCUGUGUAAAACAGCACGUGCGUGGGUGAGCGCGCGUGUGCACGCACACACACACACACACACACACACACACACACACACAAAUAAUGGUUCAGUCAAUAACCAUUCACUACCUCACACUGUUUCUGCUGAUUAAGAAAACUAGAGUGGGGCUGGCAAGAUGGCUCAGUGGGUAACAGCACUGACUGCUCUACCAAAGGUCCUGAGUUCAAAUCCCAGCAAUCACAUGGUGACUCACAACCAUCUGUAAUGGAAUCUGACGCCCUCUUCUAGUGUGUCUGAAGUCAGCUACAGUGUACUUAUGUAUAAUAAUAAAUCUUUGGGCCGGAGUGAGCAGGGACUAAGCGAGUAGAGUUGACUGGAGCGAGCGGGGCCAACUGGAGCGAGCAGGGGUCCUAAAAAUUCAAUUACCAACAAUCAUAUGAAGGCUAACAACCAUCUGUACAGCUACAGUGUACUCACACACAUAAAAUAAAUAAAUAUUUAAAAGAAAGAAA